UAAGGAAUAUUGGUCAAUGGACGCAAGUCUGAACCAGCCAUGCCGCGUGAAGGAAGACAGCCCUACGGGUUGUAAACUUCUUUUGUACGGGAAAAAAUCUCCGGUCGUGAAUCGGAGCUGAUGGUACCGUAAGAAUAAGCAUCGGCUAACUCCGUGCCAGCAGCCGCGGUAAUACGGAGGAUGCAAGCGUUAUCCGGAUUCCUUGGGUUUAAAGGGUGGGCAGGCGGAAUGAUAAGUCAGUGGGGAAAUCCUACGGCUCA
rnacentral:rRNA from 1 species